AGGUGCUGCAUGGCUGUCGUCAGCUCGUGUCGUGAGAUGUUCGGUUAAGUCCGGCAACGAGCGCAACCCACAUCUUUAGUUGCCAGCAGUUCGGCUGGGCACUCUAGAGAAACUGCCCGUGAUAAGCGGGAGGAAGGUGUGGAUGACGUCAAGUCCUCAUGGCCCUUACGGGUUGGGCUACACACGUGCUACAAUGGCAUCUACAGUGGGUUAAUCCCCAAAAGAUGUCUCAGUUCGGAUUGGGGUCUGCAACUCGACCCCAUGAAGUCGGAAUCGCUAGUAAUCGCGUAACAGCAUGACGCGGUGAAUACGUUCCCGGGCCUUGUACACACCGCCCGUCACACCAUGGGAGUUGGUUCUACCCGACGACGCUGCGCUAACCUUCGGGGGGCAGGC
rnacentral:rRNA from 9 species